rnacentral:rRNA from 1 species
GAUGAACGCUGGCGGCGUGCCUAAUACAUGCAAGUCGAGCGAACAGACGAGGAGCUUGCUCCUCUGACGUUAGCGGCGGACGGGUGAGUAACACGUGGAUAACCUACCUAUUAGACUGGGAUAACUUCGGGAAACCGGAGCUAAUACCGGAUAAUAUAUUGAACCGCAUGGUUCAAUAGUGAAAGACGGUUUUGCUGUCACUUAUAGAUGGAUCCGCGCUGCAUUAGCUAGUUGGUAAGGUAACGGCUUACCAAGGCAACGAUGCGUAGCCGACCUGAGAGUGUGGUCGGCCACACUGGAACUGAGACACGGUCCAGACUCCUACGGGAGGCAGCAGUAGGGAAUCUUCCGCAAUGGGCGAGAGCUUGACGGAGCAACGCCGCGUGUGUGAUGAAGGUCUUCGGAUCGUAAAACUCUGUUACUAGGGAAGAACAAAUGUGUAAGUAACUAUGCACGUCUGGACGGUACCUAAUCAGAAAGCCACGGCUAACUACGUG